rnacentral:rRNA from 1 species
AUGCCCUAGGUACCUUUAAACAAGUCAAUAGGAGCGGGUAUCAGGCCCACCACAACUGUAGCCCAAGACGCCUCGCACUUGCCACACCCCCACGGGUACUCAGCAGUAAUUAGUAUUAAGCAAUGAGUGUAAACUUGACUUAGCCAUAGCAAAUCCAGGGUUGGUAAAUCCUGUGCCAGCCACCGCGGUCAUACAGGAGACCCAAAUCAACCUUAUUACGGCGUAAAGAGUGGUCACAUGUUAUCUAAGUAACUAAGAUUAAAAAGCAACUGAGCUGUCAUAAGCCCAAGAUGCCCAUAAGCCCCCAUCCCCAAAGAAGAUCUUAGACUAACGAUCAAUUGAACUCCACGAAAGCCAGGGCCCAAACUGGGAUUAGAUACCCCACUAUGCCUGGCCCUAAAUCUUGAUGCCCACCCCUACUUAAGCAUCCGCCCGAGAACUACGAGCACCAACGCUUAAAACUCUAAGGACUUGGCGGUGCCCCAAACCCACCUAGAGGAGCCUGUUCUAUAACCGAUGAUCCACGAUACUACCCAACCAUUCCUUGCCAAAGCAGCCUAUAUACCGCCGUCGCCAGCCCACCUCCACUGAAAGCCUAACAGUGAGCACAAUAGUCCAACCCACUAAUAAGACAGGUCGAGGUAUAGCCCAUGGAAUGGGAGCAAUGGGCUACAUUUUCUAGCUUAGAACAUAACGGCAAGGGGACAUGAAACUGUCCCCCGAAGGAGGAUUUAGCAGUAAAGCGGGACAAUCAAGCCCUCUUUAAGCCGGCUCUGAGGCACGU